CAUGAAGCUGGAAUCGCUAGUAAUCGCGGAUCAGAAUGCCGCGGUGAAUACGUUCCCGGGUCUUGUUCACACCGCCCGUCACACCAUGGGAGUCGGAAAUGCCCGAAGUCUGUGACCCAACCGCGAGGAGGGAGCAGCCGAAGGCAGGUCGGAUGACUGGGGUGAAGUCGUAACAAGGUACC
rnacentral:rRNA from 1 species